rnacentral:rRNA from 1 species
GACGACGCUGGCGGCGUGCUUAACACAUGCAAGUCGAACGGUGACGAGGAGCUUGCUCCUCUGAUCAGUGGCGAACGGGUGAGUAACACGUGAGCAACCUGCCCCAGACUCUGGGAUAACAGUUGGAAACAGCUGCUAAUACCGGAUACGAGACGGAGAGGCAUCUCUACCGUCUGGAAAGUUUUCGGUCUGGGAUGGACUCGCGGCCUAUCAGCUAGUUGGUGAGGUAAUGGCUCACCAAGGCGACGACGGGUAGCCGGCCUGAGAGGGCGACCGGCCACACUGGGACUGAGACACGGCCCAGACUCCUACGGGAGGCAGCAGUGAGGAAUAUUGGUCAAUGGGCGCAAGCCUGAACCAGCCAUCCCGCGUGAAGGAAGAAUGCGCUACGCGUUGUAAACUUCUUUUCCAGGGGGAGAAUAAUCCUGUCGUGACAGGACUUGACGGUACUCUGGGAAUAAGCAUCGGCUAACUCCGUG